rfam:Anopheles maculatus strain maculatus3 cont1.34369, whole genome shotgun sequence.
CAAACAGUCCUUCUCAGGACUACCACACAAUUCAGAAAAGAUAUUU